AUACGUACGUGUGUGUAUGUAUAUGUUGAAAUGUUUAUGUGUAUGUGCGCUAUUGGACACCUAGGUUCAAUUGUUAAUAUUUACUCAGUAUGAACGGAAACGGUUAACAUAUAUUUCCAUGCAUUGCAAGCAUCUAUAUAAGUCUGGAUGUUUCUCUAGCCCUUCGAGAACAUCGAUGGCAUUCUCAACCCUCAGCUAUCUAGCCCCUUCUGGAACAUCAUCGUGAGGUCGUGAUGAUGGUGGUGAUGGUGGUGGUGAUGAUGAUAAUGGUGGGAUCUCUCUUCAUCUUUACAACAGAGGUUGAUGCCGCCUUGGUCUGCACUACUCCAUUCAGCGACAAGUUCAAGGACGUUUCCGUGUCCCCCGGCGGGAUCCUCAUCGGCGUUGGAAGCGACAGAGAUGUCAAAAUCUGGUCCGGUUGCUCUUGGCGAUUGAUGGGGACGAUGAUUAAUCAGAUAUCGAUCGGUGGCCGAGGUCGGGGUCCCGCAUCGUCCAGCGGAGACCUCUACGCGUGGGCGAGAACCGACGACUGGAACGUGUACUACUACUACGGACACGCGUGGUACCAUGUGAUGGGCAUUAACGGGCGGAGCCCCGGGCUACAUCUACACCACCGGUGACAGGGACGGCUAUUGGAGCGUCGUCUGCGCCAGUGCGCCCGCGCCCGGCGAGCACCCGUCCCGGAUUACGACCUCGAUAAGUCUCCUGAAUAUCCUCGCCAACAUCUACGCCGUAGGCUGCUCGCCCAACGAAUGCUGGGUCUGCGACUCCUCAUCCCGUAUGUGGCAUAAGCCCAACGUUGACUGCACCAACACGACGUGGGUGAGGAGUCCAAACAGUCCGGCUUUAGCCAAGAAAAUAGAGGUGGACUCCACGGGUGGAGUCUACUUCCUCGGAACCGAUGCACGACUCUACUACAGGGCUGUGAAUGACGCGGCGUGGACUCAGCCAAUUCCCGGUGGAUACUUCUUGUCCAUCACUGUACACGAAUCUAACCUUAUCGUCAUAGACGCCUAUGGAACCAUGGAGAUAUGCAAACUCACUCACUCACCUGUUUGCCCCCUUACCCACCAACUCACCCACCCACCCUCUCACUCGCCCACCCUCUCACUCAACCACCCACUCAUAUACCCACCCAUGCACCAACCCACUCACUCAACCACCCACUCAUACACUCACUCACCCACCCACUCUCUCACCCAUCCAUUAUCUCACCCACUCACCUAUCCACUCAUCCACCCACUCUCUCAACCACUCACCCAUUCACCCACCCACUCACCCACCUACUUACCCACCCACUCACUCACAAACUUACCUGCCCACUCACUCACUUACCCACUCACUCCCCCACUCAUUCACUCACCCAUCCACCCACUCACACACCCAUUCACCCGCUCACCCACCCACUCACCCACCCACUCACUCGCCCUCCCACUCACCUGCCCACCCACUCAUCCACCUAGGUGAUAGAUACGUGGUGGUGGUGAGUCUUUUAUUGUUGUUGUGUUUUGAGAUUAAAUGUAACGAAAUAAGAACAUUCAACAAAGAGUGCAAUCUACGGAACUUCAAUGGACAGUCAUUCAGCAGCCUUUACAGAGACACCUCGAUGUACAAAGAUGUUAUCUGCCUCGUCUGGUAUCCUGGAGGUCUUGGAUGAUGGUGGUGAUGGUGGUGGUGACGGGGGUAAUGGCGAUGGUGGUUGUGAUGGUGGUGGUCGUAGUCAUGGUGGUGGUAGGUGAUGUGGAUGGUGGUGAUGGUGGCGAGGAUGGUGGUGAUGGUGGUGGUUAUGGCGAUGGUGGUGAUGGGGGUGAUGGGUAUGGUAGUGGUGUUGUAUUUAUUGUUCUACAAAACAAAUUAAAUGUAAAAAUGAAAUGAGAAAAUAAAAAAAUGAAAAUUACGUAAAAUGUGUUAAUGUAGUUAAUUAAGUGUGAUUAACAAAAAAUAGGCGUUAGGUGUAAUUAAGAAUGUGUUAAAAAUGUGUUAUAUGAUUAAUGUAUGUGUUAGUGUUUGUGCAUUCCUAAACAGCUUUUGUUCGACCGGAUCGAGAGGGCUAAACGGGCGUGGCACGGGCUAGAGAAGAGAUGGGAGUGAUGUGGUACAGGAGGAUGUGUACCUGAGUGGACUUGCCGAUGACUGGUACCAUCGAUGUCAAGAUCGGCCUCUGUGGAGGGGGCUCGUGAAGGACGCUACUGGGCAGUUGGAGGCAGUCGCCCUCCAACAACAACAGUGGGCGGAGGAGCGAUGCUCACAACAUCUAGCGGAGUACCGGGUGAGCACAGGUGGUGCAUCAGCCAGUCAUCUCAGUCAGUCGACCCGUGGCACCUGGGUCCUCCUGCCAGCGGGCGUUCGACACUUCACGUGGCCUCAAUGUGCACAUAGCCUGGCACAAGCGUCGUGGUGACGUCACAGACACUUAGUGGCAAAUUGCGGUUGUUGUUGUGUGUGAUUGUGUUGUCUAAGGGUAUGUAUGUGUGAUUAUGUGUUGUCUAAGGGUAUGUAUGUGUGAUUAUGUGUUGUCUAAGGGCAGUGGCGGCUCCUGCAAAAUC